rnacentral:rRNA from 1 species
UAGGGAAUUUUCGUCAAUGGGGGGAAGCCCUGAACGAGCAAUGCCGCGUGUGUGAAGAAGGUCUUCGGAUCGUAAAGCACUGUUGUAAGUGAAGAAUGCCAUAUAGAGGAAAUGCUAUGUGGGUGACGGUAGCUUACCAGAAAGCCACGGCUAACUACGUGCCAGCAGCCGCGGUAAUACGUAGGUGGCAAGCGUUAUCCGGAAUCAUUGGGCGUAAAGGGUGCGUAGGUGGCACGAUAAGUCUGAAGUAAAAGGCAACAGCUCAACUGUUGUAUGCUUUGGAAACUGUCGAGCUAGAGUGCAGAAGAGGGCGAUGGAAUCCCAUGUGUAGCGGUAAAAUGCGUAGAUAUAUGGAGGAACACCAGUGGCGAAGGCGGUCGCCUGGUCUGUAACUGACACUGAUGCACGAAAGCGUGGGGAGCAAAUAGGAUUAGAUACC